GGUGGGGUAAUGGCUCAACGAUGCGAAAUGGUGUGCCAAGAUGAGAGGCUGAUCGGCCACUGUGGCACUGACACCCCCCCCACAGUCCGACGGGAGGCGGCAGUUUGGAAUCUGCGGCAAUGCACGAAGGUCUGACGGAGCAAGGCCGCGUGAGUGAUGAAGGUUUUCUUUCGUAUACCUCUGUUGUUAGGGAAUAACAAGUGCGAGAGUAACUGCUCGCACCUUGACGGUACCUAACCAGAAAGCCACGGCUAACUACGUGCCAGCAGCCGCGGUAAUACGUAGGUGGCAAGCGUUGUCCGGAAUUAUUGGGCGUAAAGGGCUCGCAGGCGGUUUCUUAAGUCUGAUGUGAAAGCCCCCGGCUCAACCGGGGAGGGUCAUUGGAAACUGGGAAACUUGAGUGCAGAAGAGGAGAGUGGAAUUCCACGUGUAGCGGUGAAAUGCGUAGAGAUGUGGAGGAACACCAGUGGCGAAGGCGACUCUCUGGUCUGUAACUGACGCUGAGGAGCGAAAGCGUGGGGAGCGAACAGGAUUAGAUACCCUGGUAGUCCACGCCGUAAACGAUGAGUGCUAAGUGUUAGGGGGUUUCCGCCCCUUAGUGCUGCAGCUAACGCAUUAAGCACUCCGCCUGGGGAGUACGGUCGCAAGACUGAAACUCAAAGGAAUUGACGGGGGCCCGCACAAGCGGUGGAGCAUGUGGUUUAAUUCGAAGCAACGCGAAGAACCUUACCAGGUCUUGACAUCCUCUGACAACCCUAGAGAUAGGGCUUUCCCUUCGGGGACAGAGUGACAGGUGGUGCAUGGUUGUCGUCAGCUCGUGUCGUGAGAUGUUGGGUUAAGUCCCGCAACGAGCGCAAC
rnacentral:rRNA from 1 species